rnacentral:rRNA from 1 species
CGGACGGGUGAGUAAUGUCUGGGAAACUGCCUGAUGGAGGGGGAUAACUACUGGAAACGGUAGCUAAUACCGCAUAACGUCGCAAGACCAAAGAGGGGACCUUCGGGCCUCUUGCCAUCAGAUGUGCCCAGAUGGGAUUAGCUAGUAGGUGGGGUAAUGGCUCACCUAGGCGACGAUCCCUAGCUGGUCUGAGAGGAUGACCAGCCACACUGGAACUUAGACACGGUCCAG